rnacentral:rRNA from 1 species
UAAUGUCUGGGAAACGUGCCUGAUGGAGGGGGGUAACUACUGGAAACGGUAGCUAAUACCGCAUAAUGUCGCAAGACCAAAGUGGGGGACCUUCGGGCCUCAUGCCAUCAGAUGUGCCCAGAUGGAAUUAGCUAGUAGGUGGGGUAACGGCUCACCUAGGCGACGAUCCCUAGCUGGUCUGAGAGGAUGACCAGCCACACUGGAACUGAGACACGGUCCAG